GACGAACCGUCCUAACGUUGUUCGGAAUCACUGGGCUUAAAGGGCGCGUAGGCGGCUUGCCAAGUCAGACGUGAAAUCCCUCGGCUUAACCGGGGAACUGCGUCUGAUACUGGAUGGCUUGAGUUUGGGAGAGGGAUGCGGAAUUCCAGGUGUAGCGGUGAAAUGCGUAGAUAUCUGGAGGAACACCGGUGGCGAAGGCGGCAUCCUGGACCAACACUGACGCUGAGUGAGCGAAAGCCAGGGGAGCAAACAGG
rnacentral:rRNA from 1 species